rnacentral:rRNA from 1 species
AUUGAACGCUGGCGGCAGGCCUAACACAUGCAAGUCGAACGGUAACAGGAAGAAGCUUGCUUCUUUGCUGACGAGUGGCGGACGGGUGAGUAAUGUCUGGGAAACUGCCUGAUGGAGGGGGAUAACUACUGGAAACGGUAGCUAAUACCGCAUAACGUCGCAAGACCAAAGAGGGGGACCUUCGGGCCUCUUGCCAUCGGAUGUGCCCAGAUGGGAUUAGCUAGUAGGUGGGGUAACGGCUCACCUAGGCGACGAUCCCUAGCUGGUCUGAGAGGAUGACCAGCCACACUGGAACUGAGGCACGGUCCAGACUCCUACGGGAGGCAGCAGUGGGGAAUAUUGCACAAAGGGCGCAAGCCUGAUGCAGCCAUGCCGCGUGUAUGAAGAAGGCCUUCGGGUUGUAAAGUACUUUCAGCGGGGAGGAAGGGAGUAAAGUUAAUACCUUUGCUCAUUGACGUUACCCGCAGAAGAAGCACCGGCUAACUCCGUG